GGGUCAGUAGGUUGGUCGUGCCACCGGUACGUACUGGUCUCACUGAUUCCUCCUUCCUGAAGAACCGUAAUGCCAUCAAUUUGGUGUUGCGGGGAAACAGGACUGUUACUUUGAAAAAAUUAGAGUGUUUAAAGCAAGCUGACGCUUGAAUACAUUAGCAUGGAAUAAUGAAAUAGGACGAUCGAUCCUAUUUUGUUGGUUUCUAGGAUUGACGUA
rnacentral:rRNA from 1 species